AGUGCAUAGCUAAUAUUAUAUCGAAUAUAGUAUAUAUAUAUAUAUACUUUCUGCGAUCCCUCAAUAUUUAUUUUCUACUUAUUUAUGUUUAUCUUUAUGAUGGUAAGGCCUAAAUCUAUGCAUGCAGUUUAUUGAAAUAAGCAGUUAGGAUUUUAACUUUAUUCGCUCCCGAAAUACACUAGAAAAGCCGUUGAUAUUGCUUAUAAUUAACCUGCUGCUAUUUUUAUUUGCUACAUAGAUUGCGUAAUUUCUUAUACACUACCAUAUACUAUUUACACUUUCGAAUUAAGUACUUCAUAAAAUCGUACUAUUCUUUGCUAUUAAGCUUUAUUUGUGACUACAACACAAUAACUCUAUAGCAUAUUGUACUAUUGUCAUGACAUAUUUUGUUCUUCAAGUUUAUAUACUAAGAUCGAGGACAAACAAAAAAGGAUGGUUUAGCACGAUUAUUGUGGAAUGUAUUUGAUAACUUUGACAUGGUUUAACUGUGUUCUUUUCUUUGUUCAUAAAUAAUAGUAAAUUGAAUUAAUGUGUUACAAAUUGAUGCACUUAUCAGGAAAAAAGUAUUGCAAAUUGAUAACAAGAACAAAUUAAAAAUUUGAGAAAGAAAAAACACAGCUAAACCGGUGCAUUUCAUACAUAUGGUGCUCUUGUAGACAUAAUAACACAGAAUAGUCAUUAAUGUUACUUGGUUUAUCAAGCAUUCAAAUUUUAUAUUGAUUAACUUCUAAUCAAAGUUUCAAGAUUAAGCACCAUUUUAAGCUGGCUAUAUCAUGAAGAACAUUUUUUGUUUGAUUAGAUUUUAUCCAAUAUUAGUUGAAAUCUAAAUCGUUUUUCAUUAUUUGACUUUUGGUAUGGACUGAUUAUUCACCAAAGAGAAGUUUAAAGGAAUCCGAUCAGUGAGGUAUGUAUAUUAGUAUGAGCAAUAACAACUCCCUGAACAUAUCUAGAUUUAAGGAAUGUGCUAUGUGACAAUAGUGUCUUGAAGAAUUUGUACUCUGAACAAAUAACUAUUUGGUUUCUUUGAAUAUCUGGUUUAUGAAACUUCAGUUUGGUACUUGUAGUGUUAUGAAGUGGAAAAAAGUAGGAUCUUUUGUUCUUAUUUUGCCCUCCUUUUUGUGAUAAGUAAUUAAAGGAAAGUUUAUUUACCAGCACCUACAGUAGAUAAUGUUGAGAUGAUAUAAGAAUAUUUCAGUAUAAGUCCAUAUUUUAUAUUUAUAGUGGUGAUAGAAAUUCUAUCAAUGUAUCUACUUCAUAACUAUGUAUGUUCUCUAUAACUAAUGGACCUUUUAGUCAUUUCAUACUCAUAUGAUUGGGCUUAUUUCUUUCUUUUAUUUGAGGGUAACUGAAAUGUAUCGUCCCAUUUUUUUGGAGAUUAUUUGCAUUAAAUUUUGGCAUAUUCAUAUAGUUGUCAGAGUUUAGCUUAUCAAAAAAAAAUAAGAAUUAGCUCUUCUAUAUUUUUUUUUAUUAUUGGCCGGUUUAAUCUUAAGGAUACAGGGAUCCCACACUCUUUUAAGAAAAAAUUAGAUUGAUGAUGCAUCCUUAGAUUAUAGUAAUAACAUUUUCGCCUUUAAUGACGUUGUUCGAUCUUCUCUAAAUGAGUGUAACUUGACACUUGGGUAUAGCUCUAGAGUAGUUUGUUCUCCCUGGGGUCUCUCUCCCUUCCCCUCUCUCUCUCUAGCUUAUCUUUAUAUCAUUGUGUUUUUCAAAUUCUUGGUGCUGGACUUGUAUUAAUUAGUACUUUCUGUACAAAAAAUGUUUAAUAUCUCAUUCUCUUUUAGGAACAGGAGCAAGAAGCUCUUUUGAUAUAGUCCAGGACAAAUACAAAAUAGUGAUGUUUUCGGGCUUCCAGUAAUGCACAAAUAUUUGUAAUAUUGUUUAUGGCUUUUAAUGGGCUAUGUGAUUUCUGUUAUUCGUAUAUGGUGUAAGCACUCAUAAACAUGAUACAUCUUAUUGAUCAUGUGGUAUAGAAUAAUGGUAGGAGAUGAGAAAUUAGUCAUAUACUUAGGUUUAAUUUUGUUAAUAAUUAAUACAAAAGUACAGCAAAAUAAAAAUAUUUGCCCAGUUUUACACACGUUGGCCGGCCCCUCGGGAGGUAAUAUAUAGCUUUAUGUUUCUGUCACUAUUGACCAUAGACGAAACUGUUCUUCUGUGUUUGUGAAAUAUGGUUAUCCUUAACUAUUUAUUGCUAUUUGGAGUUGUAAUCAUUGGCAAAUACGCGAUUAUAAUUUAAAUUGUUGGGCAUGUGCUAUGCACGGGCAACACUCAUCUAGUUUAUACUAAUAAAUAAAAACAAAAAAUCCUCCAUUUUUCUAUCUCCUUCGUCUUCCUCCUUUUUUUUUUUUUUUUUUUUUUUAAAAAAAAAAAUUGCUGAAAACAACUCAUACAGAAAUAAAGCCAAAGGCAACGGUAAAUGGACGUUUUGAAGGAGGAUUUAAAAUAAGAGGAGAUGGAUUAACGGACAAUGGAGGAGUAAAUGUAAAUUUGGGAAGCUAUAUUUUGUUUUUUGGAAUUAAUAAGGAGGUAAUUUUUUCUAUCCGAUUUGGAAAGGGAACCGAACAAGGUUGUCCAAGGGUGAACAUCAAACGGUCCCAUUGUCUGUAUUGCUGAAAAGGGAAUUAGCCAAUGAGAAGAUUGAAAUGCCCGAGAUUUGUCACGGUCAAGCUAGUCAGAGCAAGAAAGGGGAAGAAGACUUCACCUUCCUCAAGACCGAAUGCCAGCGGGUUUUGGGAGAUGGAGUUACUACCUUUUCUGUUUUUGGGGUAGGAUUUGAUGUUUCUAUCUUUUAUGUUUUUAAGAAAUGUGUCCUUUAUCGAUGCCUUUGCAUAAUAAAUUAUCAUAUUGGAUCGUAGCUACCUUUAGGGUUCGAUUGAAUCCCCUUAGUCAGAAAAUUACACUGUACAAAAAGAGUAAAAAUAAAUAUUUUUCUGCACAUAUAUAAGUCGUUGAAUCCCCUUUGACAUAGGUUCAAAUCUUAGGCCUGACAUUCUUACAUUUUUUUGAAUUCCCUUAUUCAAAUUCCAAGCUCCAUCACUAGAUUGUGGACAUCACAGUGUCUUCUAUAUGCUCAUGAUAUCUUUUGUAUGCUAAUGCUAUAUUCCUUCUUAUCCUUCUUUUUGGAUAAGAAUUUGUCAUAUCAAAUCAUAGAUUUCUUGCUGAAUCUGAUAAGUUCUGUAGUAUCCUAUGGCUGAGAAAGAUGAUCAUGGUGCCAACUUUGGACAUUUUUGCCUUGAUCUUACUUUGACAUGUUUUCCGCGUAGAAUCAAUAGUUAUCUCAAGUGGGAGAAGUCCUUUAUUUUUCCUUUUAAGAUUGUUGGCCAGGAAUCCACUAAUUCUUGUGAAUGAAGCAUUUUUAGGUUAUGUUUCUUGAUAGAGAGUGAUGUAUAAGAUUGUGCAAUAUUAUAUUUAGAGCUUGUAACUUAUAUUUUACCGGGUUCUGGGAAUUGUAUAUACAUUAAGUUGUAGUUUCAUUUAUGUAGUUGAUGCUUUGAGAUUUUAA